rnacentral:lncRNA from 1 species
GAUUGUACUGUAUUAGCCAUUCUCUGCACAUGCCCAUACCAUAUUAAUUGCUUCGUCAUGAUAUCGUGCACAAUUGUCCCCUUAACGCUCAUCAGCUCUCCAACAUACGUCCGAGAGAUAUUGAACAGAGGUAUAAAAUUAGCUUUAUUUGAUAUUCACGCAAACCGGAAUGAAAAUACUUAUUUUUUUUGUAGAGUUCUAAACAAGGAAGCUGGUCAGCAGAAAAUUGUGCUAUGCAUGAAAAAUACUAGUAGCUUCACGAAAAAUUUGGUGAUGAACAAAUCACUUUACCAUUGCAGUAGCACCGAUGCGUACGUUAUUAUAAGUCCUUCGAUUGGGAAGAGUCUUAGUUUAGUCGAGUGGAUACUGAUUCGUGGUGGACGGAAAGUUGUCUUGAUUGUGUCCAAUCAGAUUGGAGGAACCAAAAAACUGAACGAUUUAAUCAACAAAUAUGGAGCUCAACUCUUGAUAUCUUCAAUUAAAAAGCUCAACUCAGGCACGGAGACGGCAUCUUUGAGAGCAGAUUAAAAAACUUCGCCCGGUCCCUAUUGUAUUCAACAUUUUUAUGGACGAGAGACUGGCAUUACACAUAGCAUCCUUCCUUCCGAAUCCUCACCGAAUAGUCAACGUAGCUCGCACUCAGGACUCUAUCCAAAGCAACAAUGGAAGAAGUGGCAAUAUUCAAAAGGGCACCAGUCGCUUGUGCGUCAUAUGUGAAGACGGAGAGUCAUACUUGCAGAUUUUGGACCAAGCGCUGAUAAAUAAUACUGAUCCGAAAAUUGACUCGGUCUACUCUAUCAACGACAGUUCUAAAAAGUCAAAGAAACAAACCAUUCCAAUACGCGAGUACUUACCAAAAUCUUUCGAGGAACUAGAGGAGAUAGGAAAAUAUGCAGCAUCUUUUCCGAAGCCGCCAAUGACUCCAACCAACGACUCAACGGUUGAUUCCACCGAUGUCGCAACCGAUGCUCCGUCCGAUUCCGACAAGAACUCACCGUCAGACAAUGAAAAUACGCCUACCAAUAUACCUCCAUGCGCUGAGUUCGAGGAGAUUCACACAUUGACUUGGCGCCAAAAAUAUCAACGGGAAAUUUACCGGUGUACCUCAUCAGUAGCUCCGUGAAAAAAUUCGCCCCAAUCCAGAAAAAAACUGUUGUACCCACUGUACUUUGCCAAAUUUUCGGAACAGAUACCGUCAGCAGCGGAGGCUGCUAAACAUUUGUGCAAUGUAAGGGUUUAAUUUAUUCAAAGUUUUUCCUCCAUAAGAUGGUUAUGAUUUUUUUUCUUUCUAAAGCUCCUGUGAGUCACUUAAACAACAGUUUUGGAAAGGACAGUUUUUUAUUUCACCCAUGAAGUUUAGGUCUAAGAAAAUAUAGUUUCAACAGAUCGUGAGUGUUAAUAUCAUUCGAAGACUUUCUUCCUCGCGGUAAGGCAUUCUUGGAAUUAUAGAUGAGUAUAUUUGUGUCAGCAUUCAGCCUUCAUAAAUGUAGCAAGGUGUGUCUCCUAUCGAUACGUCUUCAUUAGAUGCAUUUUCAAGUCAUUUCUUUACUUUUUAAUAGCAAAUUAGGAGCAUGUUUAAAGAGUCAAAUAUGGGAAACACAUUGAAAUAUUGAAGACGGAAUGGGAUUUUUUUAAAAAAAAAUUGUAUUAUUAUUUUUUUAGGUAUUUAUUCAUUUAUUUAUUUUUUUUUUGUUGAAGUUUUACCAAUUAAUAUUCAAUUUUAGUCUUACACGUUGGGGUUGCGACAAGUCCAUAAGGUAUUUUUUCCAUAAAGAUUCUGUGAGUACUCUCUAUUUUUUUUCAGUCCAUCUGUACCAUUCAACCAAAGGACCGUGCACUAUCAUAACAGAAACUUGGAAUAUACCAAUUGCUAUGGAGCUCAUUGGAAAAUUGAAGGAAUGUCACCGACAAGCUUAUCUAACUAUUCUACCUAUUAGCCAAAAGAGUUUACUCUCUUUACUUCCAGAGGAAGAAAAAACUGGAAGACAUCGUGCUACGAAAUAUACUGCAGUUAUCUUUAAAGGUGAAUUAUCUGUAAUACUACCAUUUUCUCCGAGGACUAUCAUUUCUUGUGGAAGAGAAAUGAUUCUUGGAAUUGGUUUCGUGCGUUUUGGAAUAUUAUGUGAAAGUUUGUUCCGUUUCUUCAGGUCCGUCUGAACAGGUCGAAACGAUUUGUCAUCCUCCUUGCAUAAGGGCGUAACUACACUCCGAGAUGAAUCUGUUGUCCAUAUAACUCAAUGCUCUCUCGGGCUCAUCUCUAAGUGCAGUUACGCCCUUAUGUAAGCCAAGCGACAAAUUUAAGGUGCCAUUGCCACCCAGAUAGAAAGCAAAACCCUACCUCCUCCAUUUUAAGCUCUCCUUCAAAAUGCAUAUAAAUAUAUAACUCAUAAGUUACUUUGCACCAAAAUAAACACAACUUUUACUUCUCAAAUAAUGCUGAGUGCUCCUGUAUUAAGUGCGGGAAAAAGAAAGAUGAAGUUAAAUUAAGAAACCUCGUGAAAUUAUUUGAGACUCCACCUAUUAGCUACUUUAAGUACAUACCCCCAAAUCAGAAGGCUGUGAUAGGAUUGCGCGAAUGCAACGUUUUUUUACCUUUUUAGAGAUGCAUAGGAAUGCGCGAGUGUUUCUGCUACUGAAAACUCACAUAUAUUUGCGCGAAUAUUCAAAUUCGACGAGAAAGCGUUAAUCUGGUAACCCUGGUAGUUUGCGGUGGAUAACUACAUCGCAGAGGAUUGUUUUUCCCUCCUCAUUUACGAUGGAUCUCUUGGAUUGGACGUUCUCUCUUCGAUGGAUAGCCCUCGCAGUACGAAUGGCUCAGAUAGUUUUCAUAGACAUUUAAAAACUGAACUAGGGGCCUGUGGCCGCUACGCAGCCGCAAAUCACUGAAUAAAACUCCACGUAAAAUCGUAGGGCAACCGUGCUCAAAUUUUUUAUGAGAUGAAUGGAUUCAAAACCCGACGGUGCACCCAAAAGAAAGCGAAUAUUUAUCUCUGAUCACACGUUAUGCACCACUUUUAUGUUUCAUUCUUAAUACAUGUUUUUAAAAAGCUACACACAGUUUUUGUGAAAAAGUUCCGCAAAUUUACAUAAAUGAUAUCAAAUAAAAGUAUCCGAAAUCUCGACGCGAUUUUUAGUUUGCUCUAUUUUAUUUUAAUGUAAAAAAAAUUAAAUAUCAUCCGAGUUUCUGAAUCGUUACGAUGAGGAUACAUAUUUUUCCUUUAAUUAUGGUAAAAACUGGAGCAAAAAGUCAGAAUGAUAACACGCAGACCUACAGCAUUCCUGCAAUUUUGUAGACGCUACGAGGCGUUUUACGCCAACUGACCGACUGCGCUGCGUUUGGC